GGCUCAUUUUUUCUUCAUGUAUCAUUAGCCCUUACAUAAGUUGCCAUUACGCAUCUGUAUUGCAGAGAUUAACCUGUGAUUCCACCAUUUAACUUAAAUCGACAAAUGACUUCCUUUUUAGCUUGUCCUCUCACCUUGCCGCCAAAGACGGCGACAAUUUGCACCUGGGUCCCUUCCACCGUUACUGACGCCACUCUGAAGGACUUUGUUAACAUUGGGUUUUUACCGGAGAAGAGCACUAUGUCUUAUCGCGCCCCUGACCCGGCCGAAGAAAAACCUCAACCUAAGGAUGGUGAAGUCAUCGUCUUUACUGAUCAUAUGAACCGGGGGUUUUCACCGCCCGGCUUAAAAUUAUUCAGAGAUGUUCUGCACUUUUUCAAGCUCCAUCCCCAAGAUCUUGGACCCAAUUCCAUAUCAAAUAUCUAUAAUUUCUAGGUUCUCUGUGAGGUUUAUCUUCAAGAAGAACCUACUUUUGAACUCUUCAGACUGUAUUUCUAUUUGAACCGCCAGAAUGAAUACACCAAUGGCCCCAGCUUGGGACAUGCUGGAAUUUCGAUUCAGCGUAGACAGGGUGCUGUCUUUCCCUUGGUAGUCUUACCAAGCCAUCCCAAGGAUUGGAACCAAACAUGGUUUUGCAAAUACACGUCGCCAGCUGACGAAAAACCAAUGCCGGGUUAUCGCGCGGAGCGCCUUGAUGCUAAGUUUUCACUCCCUGACAAGCUUACUGCCGCUGAACAUAAGAAGCUCAUCCCAACCACCAAAAGGGUGCAAGCCUUGCUGGGAAACAGCUUAACUAGUGUUGACUUGAUCCUCUGUUGGAUCACAUGGUGGAUCAUCCCUCUGAGCCACCGGUAUGACUUAAUGUAUAAUUACACCGGAGGAGCAGACGAUCCAUUGCAUUAUAGAUCUCUACGUCUGACUGAAGAAGCCAUCGUCGAAAUGUCAACUACCCUUCUAAACAACAAAUAGGAAUACUGCAGUAAAGUAGGAUUAAACCCAUUCUGCAAACUUAACCCGGCACCAGAGGUAAAUCCCCUUGAUUCCUUUUUUUCUUUAAUAGUUAAGCGCUUGCAUGAUGUUUCAACCUGUUAUUUGCCUACAGGCAAAAUCUGACUUUUGGAAGGCCAAAUAUGAUCAUAAAGCUGCUAAGAAGGCUAGAGCCGCCGCCAUGGCCGCGAAGAAGACAACCCGAAAAUCUAAGAAGAAACAAACUGCUUCUGAUAUGUUCAAGUUGGCUGAUGUUACUGAGUCGGAGGAUGACACGGGGUCUAGCUAUGCAGUAGAGGAAGAGGUAACUAUUUCCUCCAACUCAGAACCUUUGCCAAGACAGAAACCUCAACUGGUAACCCGGAAAGUAAGGUUUUCACACCCUUUAGCUUAUUUGGAUCCUCAUUUUCUUUUGAAAAAAUAGCAACACGAGAACCACCGUCACACCCGGACCAGUGAUGACAAUGAACUGCCCUCCGGCUAACCAAAAACUCCUUGGAAACGCCAGAAUGAGGAGGUCUCUCGAUCUUUUGGUUAUUCCUGUCAAACUCAAUUUACGGCUUUCAAGACUGCCCCUGGUGGUCAAGCAAAACCCAAGAAAGCCAAGGUGAUCAAACCGACUGAAAACCUGGAAACCGCUGAACCGGCACUGCCAACUCCUACCCCAGGACAACCUGAAGCACCAGAAGACCCUGCUGUCCAUGUUCAAAUAGAUCCUCCUGAGCCGUCUGUUGAUGAAACUAUUCUCAACCCAUCCACUGUUGAACCGUCAAGCUCAACUAACCUGCCGACGACUUAUAAAAGUGAUGUUUUCAUCACUGGUAGUAGAUUUGUUGAAACGGGAAAUCCGACGGUACUGGCCAGACACUCGGCCAAGCAAGAGGGUUUGGAAAAGUAGAAAGUUCGCUUCGACAUCUCUCACUAUGCUCACCUGAGCACUAGUGAUGUGCUAUCUGGCUAUCUUAGUCACGUGCAUUCUAGCUGUGACUCUGAAAUUGAGAUGGUGAAACAGCUGCAAUUGAAAUAUGAGACCGCCAUAACUAAAUUGGAUUCUGAACUGACGGAUGCCAAAACCCGGUUGGCGGCUCAAGAGACUGAGAUAAAGAAUACUGACUCCAAACUCCAGUUGAGCCUAUCUGAAGUAGAGAAACUGAAGAGCAGUUUUGAUGUAGAGAAAAAAAUCCUGGGCCGAUGAAAAAACCUUGCUGAUACAGCAUGCUGAGACAGCCGAGGCAUCUCUCAAGGAGGUUACCGCGGAACUCACCGGUUUAAAGAACCGUGUGUCUCAGAUGGUCUCUGCAAUCUUCAGUCCACGGAGCAGCAAUCUGAGCCAAAAUAGCUUGAUAAAGCUCAAGGCGGUUUACACCCUGGUGGAGCAACUGUACACUGGAGCUCAACCGGCGCUUGCCAUUAUCUCCCCAGCCAACCAAGGACCAAACCUCUUGAGUGAUGUCUUGAAGAAGUUAUCUAUCUUACCUGCCAGAUUCCAAGAGGUCAAGCGGUCUUGUGCAAGAGCGGGAGCCCUAACUACUCUAAGCCGCUCCAAAGCCUGGGUGCCGGAGCUAGACCCGGCAGAUGUAGCCAAGGGGUAUCCCAGCCUUAAGGAAGACGGGACCCCGUUUGAUCAAGAUGAUUUUUCUGCUUGUGUGAGGGGAAAUCGUCCUCAUGCUACUAUCCUUGGCGAUGAGACCAAUAUAGAUAAGUAUCAGCCGAGUUUUAAUGUUGAGAAUAAAAAGAUGGUGACUCCUUCGUA